CAGCAGCCGCGGGAAUACGUAGGGUGCAAGCGUUAAUCGGAAUUACUGGGCGUAAAGCGUGCGCAGGCGGUUAUAUAAGACAGAUGUGAAAUCCCCGGGCUUAACCUGGGAACUGCAUUUGUGACUGUAUAGCUAGAGUACGGCAGAGGGGGAUGGAAUUCCGCGUGUAGCAGUGAAAUGCGUAGAUAUGCGGAGGAACACCGAUGGCGAAGGCAAUCCCCUGGGCCUGUACUGACGCUCAUGCACGAAAGCGUGGGGAGCAAACAGGAUUAGAUACCCCUGUAGUCCCUGUCUCUUAUAC
rnacentral:rRNA from 1 species